rnacentral:rRNA from 1 species
GAUGAACGCUAGCGGCAGGCUUAAUACAUGCAAGUCGAGGGGCAGCAUGAUUGUAGCAAUGCAAUUGAUGGCGACCGGCAAACGGGUGCGGAACACGUACACAACCUUCCAACAAGUGGGGGAUAGCCCAGAGAAAUUUGGAUUAAUACCCCGUAACAUAGCGAUGUGGCAUCACAUUGCUAUUAUAGAUUUUUCGCUUGUUGAUGGGUGUGCGGCUGAUUAGAUAGUUGGCGGGGUAACGGCCCACCAAGUCUACGAUCAGUAGCUGAUGUGAGAGCAUGAUCAGCCACACGGGCACUGAGACACGGGCCCGACUCCUACGGGAGGCAGCAGUAAGGAAUAUUGGACAAUGGACGCAAGUCUGAUCCAGCCAUGCCGCGUGAAGGAUUAAGGUCCUCUGGAUUGUAAACUUCUUUUAUAAGGGACGAAAAAAGGCUUUUCUAAGUCGUCUGACGGUACCUUAUGAAUAAGCACCGGCUAACUCCGUGCCAGCCGCCGCGGUAACAC